UUUAUAUAUAUAGAUUUACAACCCUUCCCUCUUUUGUUCACCUUUUCUCAUCCUCAACCGUUAGGCUUUUAUAUUUUUGUAUGAACCUCAAUUCCUUUACCUUUCUUCUUUCUCACUUUCUAAUCCAACUUCUUUCACCAUUCUAUCUUCUCCUUCUCUUUUCAAUCUCGGAAUUAUCAAUCCUUGGUAUGUUGUUAGUUCAUCUUGCCCUUCUCUGUUUAUCUGUAAUCUUAUAUUCCUAACUCAAAUAUUCAUAUCUAAACCGCAUCUCCCCUUAGAAAGAUCAGGAUUUUUUAUAUGUGAAGCUCAACCGACGCCGACAUCAACGAUUGUCUUUUUGACAGCCACGUUGAAGCCCAACCAAUGAUGACGUCAACGCCGUCAGUGUGAACCUUCAUGUGUUCAAACGAUGUUGGCCUAGAUCCUGUUGUCUCUGUCUUUGGUUUAGUGUUUGAAGAACAUUUGUUUCCUACAUAUGUAGCUGGACUGUGUUUGGAAUUUUUUCUUUUGGUUUCUUGGUCUGAA